AGAAGUGUAGGGGGUUAUGGGGAAGUUUUAGGGACUUUUGCACAUUUAAACCUUAGACCUGGGGGCUAGACUGCAAGUUUUUCUCGGUUUUCUUUAUUUCCUAGAUCUAAAAAGGCUGCAAAUUUGGAAAUUCGUAGUAAAUUGGAGAACAAUCAUAAAAUAGCAAAUGAAGAUGUUUUGGAAUUCUUGUUAGUAGAAUUAUGUAGGAGAGUCAUAAUAUGAUAUGUGUUAGUAGAAAGUUUCUGAUGUUUUUAUUUAUCCUUGCAAAGUGCUUUUAGAAAUCCUUUUAAGUUGGUUGGAUGCAUAUUUUGAGUUAUGGAAGUCCAAAGAUUGUGAUUCCAGUUGUGUUAGUAUUAUGAUGACACUCUCUAGCUAAGAAAAAUAUUGAACAUGCUAGUUGUAUACUGUUUUUAUCAUGUUUUGAUUUAAUAGGCAAUUUUAGCUUGUUUUUCUUGUCAUUUUCAUAUCUAAAUUUGUGGUGCUCCAAUUUCUAUGAAAGUUUUAUGGUAGGCUAUAAAUGAUGCUCUUAUGCUCUGGUAAAGCUUUCAUAUUUAUUGGUGCAUGUAUGACUA
rnacentral:lncRNA from 1 species